UCCAGGGCUACACACGUGCUACAAUGGGCGCGUACAGAGGGACGCCAAACCGCGAGGUGGAGCAGACCCCAGAAAGCGCGUCGUAGUUCGGAUUGCAGUCUGCAACUCGACUGCAUGAAGUCGGAAUCGCUAGUAAUCGCGGAUCAGCAUGCCGCGGUGAAUACGUUCCCGGGCCUUGUACACACCGCCCGUCACACCAUGGGAGUAGAUUGUACCAGAAGCGGCUAGCCUAACCUUCGGGAGGGCGGUUACCACGGUAUGGUUUAUGACUGGGGUGAAGUCGUAACAAGGUAGCCGUAGGGGAACCUGCGGCUGGAUCACCUCCUUUAAAGAAAAGGGUCUAGACCCCACACACGCCACUCGGUAAGGAAUUGGGCCUAUAGCUCAGCUGGCUAGAGCACACGACUGAUAAUCGUGAGGUCAG
rnacentral:rRNA from 1 species